rnacentral:rRNA from 1 species
CCUACGGGGGGCUGCAGUGGGGAAUAUUGCACAAUGGGGGAAACCCUGAUGCAGCGACGCCGCGUGAGUGAAGAAGUAUUUAGGUAUGUAAAGCUCUAUCAGCAGGGAAGAAAAUGACGGUACCUGAUUAAGAAGCCCCGGCUAACUACGUGCCAGCAGCCGCGGUAAUACGUAGGGGGCAAGCGUGAUCCGGAUUUACUGGGUGUAAGGGGAGCGUAGAGGGCAGCACAAGUCUGGAGUGAAAUGCCGGGGCUUAACCCCGGAACUGCUUUGGAAACUGUGCAGCUAGAGUGCAGGCGAGGUAAGUGGAAUUCCUAGUGUAGCCGUGAAAUGCGUAGAUAUUAGGAGGAACACCAGUGGCGAAGGCGGCUUACUGGACUGUAACUGACGUUGAGGCUCGAAAGCGUGGGGAGCAAACAGGAUUAGAUACCCCUGUAGUC